rnacentral:rRNA from 1 species
UUGCACGCUGGCGGCAUGCUUUACACAUGCCAGUCGAACGGCAGCGCGGGCUUCGGCCUGGCGGCGAGUGGCGAACGGGUGAGUAAUACAUCGGAACGUGCCCAGUAGUGGGGGAUAGCUCGGCGAAAGCCGGAUUAAUACCGCAUACGACCUGAGGGUGAAAGCGGGGGAUCUUCGGACCUCGCGCUAUUGGAGCGGCCGAUGGCAGAUUAGCUAGUUGGUGGGGUAAAGGCCUACCAAGGCGACGAUCUGUAGCUGGUCUGAGAGGACGACCAGCCACACUGGGACUGAGACACGGCCCAGACUCCUACGGGAGGCAGCAGUGGGGAAUUUUGGACAAUGGGCGAAAGCCUGAUCCAGCAAUGCCGCGUGUGCGAUGAAGGCCUUCGGGUUGUAAAGCACUUUUGGCGGGAACGAAAAGGACUGUGCCAAUACCACGGUUCGAUGACGGUACCCGCAGAAUAAGCACCGGCUAACUACGUG